rnacentral:rRNA from 1 species
UACGAAGGGGGCUAGCGUUGCUCGGAAUUACUGGGCGUAAAGGGCGCGUAGGCGGACAGUUUAGUCAGAGGUGAAAGCCCAGGGCUCAACCUUGGAAUUGCCUUUGAUACUGGCUGUCUUGAGUACGGGAGAGGUGUGUGGAACUCCGAGUGUAGAGGUGAAAUUCGUAGAUAUUCGGAAGAACACCAGUGGCGAAGGCGACACACUGGCCCGUUACUGACGCUGAGGCGCGAAAGCGUGGGGAGCAAACAG